rnacentral:rRNA from 1 species
GUCCACGCCGUAAACGAUGCAUACUAGGUGUUGGCCCUUUUGGGUCAGUGCUGCAGUUAACGCAUUAAGUAUGCCACCUGGGGAGUACGUCGGCAACGAUGAAACUCAAAGGAAUUGACGGGGGCCCGCACAAGCGGUGGAGCAUGUGGCUUAAUUCGAUGCAACGCGAGGAACCUUACCUGGGCUAAAUUUGCCGUGCUACCUCUGGAAACAGAGGGUCCCUUCGGGGCGCGGUAGAAGGUG